UACGGAGGGUGCAAGCGUUGCUCGGAAUUAUUGGGCGUAAAGGGUAGGUAGGUGGUCUCAUUUGUCUGGGGUGAAAGCCUUGAGCUUAACUCAAGAAGUGCCCCAGAAACGGUGAGACUCGAGUUCUAGAGAGGGUCGUGGAAUUCCCGGUGUAGCGGUGAAAUGCGUAGAGAUCGGGAGGAACACCAGAGGCGAAGGCGGCGACCUGGAUAGAUACUGACACUCAACUACGAAAGCGUGGGGAGCAAACAGGG
rnacentral:rRNA from 1 species